rnacentral:rRNA from 1 species
GUCAUAUGCUUGUCUCAAAGAUUAAGCCAUGCAUGUCUCAGUACAAGCUAAAUUAAAGUGAAACCGCGAAAGGCUCAUUAAAUCAGUUAUGGUUCCUUAGAUUGUACCCACAAUUACUUGGAUAACUGUGGUAAUUCUAGAGCUAAUACAUGCAAAUAGAACUCCGACCGGAGACGGAAGGAGUGCUUUUAUUAGAUCAAAACCAAUCGGUGACGGGUUUAUUCUCGUCAUCGUAUUAUUUGGUGAUUCUGAAUAACUUUAUGCUGAUCGCACGGUCAUUGCACUGGCGACGCAUCUUUCAAAUGUCUGCCUUAUCAACUGUCGAUGGUAGGUUCUGCGCCUACCAUGGUCGUAACGGGUAACGGGGAAUCAGGGUUCGAUUCCGGAGAGGGAGCCUGAGAAACGGCUACCACAUCCAAGGAAGGCAGCAGGCGCGCAAAUUACCCACUCCCGGCACGGGGAGGUAGUGACGAAAAAUAACGAUACGGGACUCAUCCGAGGCCCCGUAAUCGGAAUGAGUACACUCUAAACCCUUUAACGAGGAUCAAUUGGAGGGUAAGUCUGGUGCCAGCAGCCGCGG